rnacentral:rRNA from 1 species
UACGAAGGGGGCUAGCGUUGUUCGGAAUUACUGGGCGUAAAGCGCGCGCAGGCGGUUUCUCAAGUCAGUGGUGAAAGCCCGGAGCUCAACUCCGGAACUGCCAUUGAAACUGUGAGACUUGAGGACGAGAGAGGUGAGUGGAAUUCCCAGUGUAGAGGUGAAAUUCGUAGAUAUCGGGAGGAACACCAGUGGCGAAAGCGGCUACCUGGCCCAUUCUUGACGCUGAGGCGCGAAAGCUAGGGGAGCAAACGGG